rnacentral:rRNA from 1 species
AGAGUUUGAUCCUGGCUCAGGACGAACGCUGGCGGCGUGCCUAACACAUGCAAGUCGAACGGAACUGUUUUGAAAGAUUUCUUCGGAAUGAAUUUGAUUUAGUUUAGUGGCGGACGGGUGAGUAACGCGUGAGUAACCUGCCUUCAAGAGGGGGAUAACAUUCUGAAAAGAAUGCUAAUACCGCAUGACAUAUCGGAAUCACAUGAUUUUGAUAUCAAAGAUUUUAUCGCUUGAAGAUGGACUCGCGUCCGAUUAGUUAGUUGGUGAGGUAACGGCUCACCAAGACCGCGAUCGGUAGCCGGACUGAGAGGUUGAACGGCCACAUUGGGACUGAGACACGGCCCAGACUCCUACGGGAGGCAGCAGUGGGGGAUAUUGCGCAAUGGGGGCAACCCUGACGCAGCAACGCCGCGUGAAGGAUGAAGGUUUUCGGAUUGUAAACUUCUUUUAUUAAGGACGAAAAAUGACGGUACUUAAUGAAUAAGCUCCGGCUAACUACGUGCCAGCAGCCGCGGUAAUACGUAGGGAGCAAGCGUUGUCCGGAUUUACUGGGUGUAAAGGGUGCGUAGGCGGCUUUGCAAGUCAGAUGUGAAAUCUAUGGGCUCAACCCAUAAACUGCAUUUGAAACUGUAGAGCUUGAGUGAAGUAGAGGCAGGCGGAAUUCGUGGUGUAGCGGUGAAAUGCUUAGAUAUCACGAAGAACUCCGAUUGCGAAGGCAGCUCACUGGAGCGCAACUGACGCUGAAGCUCGAAAGUGCGGGUAUCGAACAGGAUUAGAUACCCUGGUAGUCCGCACGGUAAACGAUGGAUGCCCGCUGUUGGUCUGAAUAGGUCAGCGGCCAAGCGAAAGCAUUAAGCAUCCCACCUGGGGAGUACGCCGGCAACGGUGAAACUCAAAGGAAUUGACGGGGGCCCGCACAAGCGGAGGAACAUGUGGUUUAAUUCGAUGAUACGCGAGGAACCUUACCCGGGCUUGAAUUGCAGAGGAAGGAUUUGGAGACAAUGACGCCCUUCGGGGCCUCUGUGAAGGUGCUGCAUGGUUGUCGUCAGCUCGUGCCGUGAGGUGUCGGCUUAAGUGCCAUAACGAGCGCAACCCCUCUCCUUAGUUGCCAUCAGGUCAUGCUGGGUACUCUGGGGACACUGCCACCGUAAGGUGUGAGGAAGGUGGGGAUGACGUCAAAUCAGCACGGCCCUUACGUCCGGGGCUACACACGUGUUACAAUGGCAGGUACAGAGAGACGGUCCCUUGCAAAAGGGAUCAAAUCCUCAAAGCCUGUCUCAGUUCGGACUGGGGUCUGCAACCCGACCCCACGAAGCUGGAUUCGCUAGUAAUCGCGCAUCAGCCAUGGCGCGGUGAAUACGUUCCCGGGCCUUGUACACACCGCCCGUCAAGCCAUGAAAGCCGGGGGCGCCUAAAGUCCGUGACCGUAAGGAGCGGCCUAGGGCGAAACUGGUAAUUGGGGCUAAGUCGUAACAAGGUA